rnacentral:lncRNA from 1 species
UUUUUUUUUAUUUUUUAUUUUUUUGUCUUUUUGCUAUUUCUUGGGCCGCUCCCGCAGCAUAUGGAGUUUCCCAGGCUAGGGGUCUAAUCAGAGCUGUAGCUGCCAGCCUAUGCCAGAGCCACAGCAACUCUGGAUCCAAGCCGCGUCUGCGACCUACACCACAGCUCACGGCAACGCCGGAUCGUUAACCCACUGAGCAAGGCCAGGGAUCGAACCCGCAACCUCAUGGUUCCUAGUCGGAUUCGUUAACCACUGCGCCACGACGGGAACUCCUUCCUUUUUUUUAAAAAAAAAAAAUCACAAUUUGAUUAAUUCUAAGUCGAAAGGACUUUUUUUUUCUUUUUUAAAACAAUAAUUCAAUGAAUUUUAUUAUAUUUAUAGUUGUACAACCACAUCACAACUCAAUUUUAGAAUAUGUGCAUCCCAAGCCCCCAGUUUACCCCCCCUUUCCCCAUCUGUCCCCUUUGAUAAUGUAAGUGUUUCAAAGUCUGAGUCUGAUUCUAUUUUGCAAAUAAGUUCACUAGGAUCCUUUUUUAGAUUCCACAUAUAAGUGAUAUCAUAUGAUGUUUGUCUCCCCCUGUCUGAGUUACUUCACUUAGUAUGAUAGUUUCUAGGUUCAUCCAUGUUACUGCAAAUGCCAUUAUUUCAUUCUUUUUUAAUGGCUGAGUAGUAUUCCAUUGUAUAUACACAUCACAUCUUCUUUAUCCAAGAAAUGACUUUUUUCUUGAUUUAAAAAAUCUACUCUCGGAGUUCCCAUUGUGGCGAAGUGGUUAACAAAUCCGACUAGGAACCAUGAGGUUGCGGGUUCGGUCCCUGGCCUUGCUCAGUGGCUUAAGGAUCCGGCGUUGCCAUGGCUGUGGUGAAGGCUGGCAGCUGCAGCUUGGAUUCAACCCCUAGCCUAAAGGAUGCGGGUUCCAUCCCUGGCCUCGCUUGGUGGGUUGGGGAUCCAGCAUCGCCAUGAGCUGUGGUGUAGGUCACAGAUGUGGCUCAGAUCCCAAGUUGCUAUAGCUGUGGUGUAGGCUGGCAGCUGUAGCUAAAAAAGAAAAAAAAAAAAAAAUCAGGGAUUAUGACAAAUGCUAUCUGUGGGAGGCCUCGGAGAUAAUGUAGAUGUUACCUGAUAUUUGAGAUGAUAGGGUCUGAGACAUAGAGAGGAACAGAGAGAAGGGAGCCACAAGGGGAACAGACAGAUAGGGGGCACUUAGCGACAUGGCAUGAGAGAGACAGAGACAGAGAAUGUAGAGGGACUUUCUGUCCUGUGACACCAGCACACCUGGGCUCAAGCAGCCUCUGUGGCUGAGACCUUCUUUGGCAACCCAGGACUUUGUGUAAAGGAAGAGAUCCUUUCCAACAGCUGUUGGUCCAGCUUGGUGGGGAGCAAGGUUUGUAACCCAGCAUUUGCAGACAAGAGGACAAGGCUGUCCUCUGGGUUCCAAGACGAUUUCAAGGGAAGAAACCCCCCCUAUUUGCCAAGGUGGGGGGGUUCUACCCGAAGGGACUUACUGUUCAGGAAAGAGUGAAUCUGUAAUGCGGUUGUCAUGAGGCUUUUGGAUCUUGCUGUUUGUAUGCUAAAGCUGUGAUUUUCUGUUCCUGACCAGGUCCUACGUGCCAGAAGUGGCAGAGCUCCCAGGGGAAAUAUGCUGAUCCCUGCUUUUCUUACCUCUGGGGAGUGUGAAGGAAGCCCCCCACUCCAUGGUGCUGAUGGAGGAAGGCAUGAAGGGCGGAGGGAAUGGCAGGCUCCUCUGCCUAAGCUGUUCUGUGCUGUUAGUGUUUCUCCCGCAUCCACUGUCAAGGUCUAUAUAUGCCAUGCUGGGGGUGUGUGUGUGUAUAUGCCAAGGGCAAAGCAGAAUCUUGGUCUUGUUGGGGCCUCCAGAUCCAUGCUGUUGGAUCACAUUUAUCCUGAAGACAAGAACUUUGGUUCCUCUUGGGCAUGGUGGCCUGGGAUGUCACCUGGCUGGAUUCCAUGGGAAGCUGAGGGAGGGCCCUCGGUGAAUCGUCACCCACAGUUGGGCUGACUCUAAGUAGGUCAUUGCUGGUUCUUUGGACAAAAGGAAUCCAACUGCCAGAGUGUUCCACCCUUCCAAAUUGAAAUUGAUGACACGGUCAGCCUGGCUUGGGCUCAGGUGCAACUUCUUUGGCCGUGAGCUAAGUGAAAAGCCUAGAGCUUUUGAACCAGAAAGAUGUUGAUUUUCAGUUAAGGAGACUGAAGCCUGGAGUGAUGGGGUGAUGGCUAAUCAAGGCUUGAGCCAGAGGUAGAAAGUCAAGUGCACUGUCUCCCAGUCCUGGCCUUUCUCUGCAAGACGAUGGAAUCCCCAAGGGCCUCUCUGCCUCCUCUAAGUAAGAUUAACCCUCACCAGCAAUGUGGUGUCUUGAGACCUGGGGUGAGGGAGGAGAACUGUAUUUCAAGUAGAAAGCUACUCAUUUUCUUCAUCUUGGAUGUAGACAAGUUCAACAUUCAUAUCAUGAGCUACUGAUAGGAGAACAGUAUUAUAGGUCAAAACCCUUCUAGAAAAAAAAGAGAAUUCACUCCUUUAUAAAACAAGCACAAAGGCAGAGGCAGCAAAAGAAAAUCAGUCGGUAAAAUGGGGUGAUAAGUAGCCCCUAAUUAUCAUUACCAAGAAGCCAGUAUUAAUGAGGUUACACUACAAAUGGGAAUGUGAGACUCUGUGAAUGAGUGGCCUCUCUCUCUCUCUUUUUAUAACAACAACAAAAAAUCUCCAAGUAAGGCAGUUUGAGAAACCAAAAACCUAAUAAAGAGGUCAAUCAGAAGGUAGAAAAAUACACCAACUCGGAGGAUGAGUCCUCUUUUGGUGGCAUUUUGCUCAUCCUGGGACAACCCUUGCAUCCUUUUCAGAUGAAGUCAGAAAGGAGGUAUAAUUUGGCAUUUCCCAGCAUCUCUCCAGGGGCUUUUUAAGGGGAGGGGAUGGGUGGAGCCAGUCUUGAUUGUCUCUGCAGAGAUUUCAAUGCAAGGAAAUGGCACUGACCCCAAAUCAGCAGAUUGAAGUGAGGAUGGAUGCUCAUGAAGCUAAAUGGUUAUAGGAUUAGAGAUCUGAAAAAACUUUAGAAAAGACUGACUCUGAUUGCCUUGUUUUACAGAUAGGAACUCUGAGCAUGAGAGAGAGAGAGAGAAAGGGAGAGAGAGACAGAGACAGAGACAAUGAGAGAGAGACAGAGACAGAGAGAAAGAGCCAGAGACAGAGAGACAGAGGACAGAGACAAAGAGAUAGAGAGACAGGCAGAGAGCCAGAGACAGAGAGACAGAGAGCCAGAGAGAGGCUGGCCUUUCAUCUGCAUUGUGCAUUGAGCCGUCACAUCUACUACGAAAACACACUCUACCCAGAGGUACUCACUCCCUAAGAGAGGAUGGCAGGAAAGACAUUAUAUUGGGAUGAUUAUUAGUUAUGAAAGGCUCAAGGAUGCUAACACAGAAACUCUGGGAUUAUUUGGGACUUCCUUGAAGAAGCUGUGCCCUCUCCCUUGAAGAAGUCUGCCCAUCCUGAAAGAAGUCAGGCUGCCUGUGGAUGACCCAGGGUGGGGACCCACACAACAUCCCGAGGAAGUGACUUGGUCAGGAGGCUCACGGAGAAAUCAGCGCUAACCAUGUCUAAGGCAGAUUCUUGGGUAGAGCACUUCAUAUGUGACAAUCCUUGGGAGAGUGAUUUAAAUCCUGGGAAUUCGGUUGCCCCCGCUAGAAAUUGAGGAGACUAGCACCUACCUCAUAGGGUUGUUACAAAGAUUAAAUGAUUGAAUGUGGGCAAAAUACUUAGACUAGUACUUGGCAAAUCAUAAUUGGCCAUUACGAUGUUGGCUGUUUUUCUUAGAGGACCUGUGAAUUCUUGCACACACACACACCCAAGCAAGCACACAGCCAUGGCUGCCGCGUGAAUUUGGAUGAGACUCUUUGAUGACAUCUAAAUAAGUGUUAAGCAUGGGAUCCAGUCUGUUUCACAUCAGAGCUCAACCAGCAAAAUCUGCUGAAUGAUCUUUUCAUGCAAUGUCACCAGAGUUGUGAUAUGCAGUUCCCUGCCCCGGAAAGAGUAUACAUCAUAGAGGAUACAUACAUACGUACAUUGGAGGCACCCUGUGUCAGAAUUCUGAGUCACUUUUUACCUGCUCUGUGAAGACAUUCCUCAUCAUUUCAACCGGAAGCUCUGAUACUCCCCACCUAAUUUCCUAUAAUAUUUGCUAUAAUAUUUAUCAUCUGUGCCAUCACUUUAUAGUGUUUAUUGUGUAAUAGUGUUUAUUUACUUUUAGCCUUUUUACUUUUAGCAUAUAUUUUCUUUGCCAGAUGAGACCUGAAACUCUGGGGACAAGAUCACUCACUUUUGUAUGUCCAAAGAGCAGAGUGAGCUGCUCUGCCAUAGAAUAUAUUCAAUAAAGUCCUUGAUUAUGCAACCAAAGGUUUGAUGAUACUGGCUUUUCCAACUUCCAAAUGACACACUACUUAACUAGUGACCUAAAUGGAGUGACCUAUUUUCACCAACAUCGCCUCCUUGGUCUUCCUGACUACAAAAGACAUAACAAGACCCUUUGCCUUAUUUCUCCUUCAUGUCCACAGCUCUGCUGGUAACAUUUAAAGGGAGGUUUGCAUUGGAUUGGGGGGUCAGGAAGGUAGGUAAGAAGGAGACACUGGAAUUGGAAUAUGUGGGACUACUGGGGGGUGAGAAAGUCAAUCCAGUUGGCUACCCUGUCCCAAGUUAUUGAUUGUGGAAA